AUUGAACGCUGGCGGCAGGCCUAACACAUGCAAGUCGAACGAGUGGCGGACGGGUGAGUAAUGUCUGGGAAACGGCCUGAUGGAGGGGGAUAACUACUGGAAACGGUAGCUAAUACCGCAUACCAUCAGAUGUGCCCAGAUGGGAGUAGCGAGUUGGUGGGGGAACGGCUCACCAAGGCGACGAUCCCUAGCUGGUCUGAGAGGAUGACCAGCCCCACUGGGACUGAGACACGGUCCAGACUCCUACGGGAGUCAGCAGUGGGGAAUAUUGCACAACGGGCGCAAGCCUGAUCCGGCCAUGCCGCGUGUAUGAAGAAGGCCUUCGGGUUGUAAAGUACUUUCAGCGGGGAGGCGUUACCCGCAGAAGAAGCACCGGCUAACUCCGUGCCAGCAGCCGCGGUAAUUC
rnacentral:rRNA from 1 species